AUUGAACGCUGGCGGCAGGCCUAACACAUGCAAGUCGAACGAGUGGCGGACGGGUGAGUAAUGUCUGGGAAACUGCCCGAUGGAGGGGGAUAACUACUGGAAACGGUAGCUAAUACCGCAUACCAUCGGAUGUGCCCAGAUGGGAUUAGCUAGUAGGUGGGGGAAUGGCUCACCUAGGCGACGAUCCCUAGCUGGUCUGAGAGGAUGACAAGCAAAACGGGAAUGGGGACACGGUCCAGACUCCUACGGGAGGAAGAAGUGGGGAAUAUUGGACAAUGGGGGAAAGCCUGAGGCAGCCAUGCCGGGGGGAUGAAGAAGGACUUCGGGUUGUAAAGUACUUUCAGCGGGGAGGCGUUACCCGCAGAAGAAGCACCGGCUAACUCCGUGCCAGCAGCCGCGGUAAUUC
rnacentral:rRNA from 1 species